rnacentral:rRNA from 1 species
UACGGAGGGUGCGAGCGUUGUCCGGAAUCACUGGGCGUAAAGGGCGCGUAGGUGGCACGGUAAGCGUGUGGUGAAAGCUCGGGGCUCAACCCCGAGUCGGCCAUGCGAACUGCUGCGCUUGAGCACUGUAGAGGCAGACGGAAUUCCGGGUGUAGCGGUGGAAUGCGUAGAGAUCCGGAAGAACACCGGUGGCGAAGGCGGUCUGCUGGGCAGUUGCUGACACUGAGGCGCGACAGCGUGGGGAGCAAACAGG